GGGGCUAUAGCUCAGCUGGGAGAGCGCUUGCAUGGCAUGCAAGAGGUCGACGGUUCGAUCCCGUCUAGCUCCACC
rnacentral:tRNA from 1 species